rnacentral:tRNA from 1 species
GGAGUUGUGGCUCAGCAGUAGAGCGCUCACCUAGCAUGUGGGAGGCACUGAGUUCGAUCCUUAGCAUCACAU